UACAGAGGAGCCAAGCGUUGUCCGGAUUGACUGGGCGUAAAGCGCACGCAGGCGGUUGCGCGCGUGGGGUGUGAAAUCUGGCCGCUUAACGGCCAGGCGCCAUCCCAUACGGCGCGACUGGAGUGAUGCAGAGGUCGAUGGAAUUGCCGGUGUAGUGGUGAAAUGCGUAGAGAUCGGGCAGGAACACCCAGGGGGGAAACCAGUCGACUGGGCAUCUACUGACGCUGAGGUGCGAGAGCGUGGGGAGCGAACCGG
rnacentral:rRNA from 1 species